rnacentral:lncRNA from 1 species
CGGAGACGGAGCGCGGCCGGAGCUCCUCGCGCCGCUGCUUCUAAAAUGCCUGCCGCUGCCAGGAGGUAUAAACGAGCCGAUGGGGGCUCAGCUGGGAAUUCGCCCACUGAACAGCGCGGGAACUGCGUGUAAACGGGCUUGCCUCAAUAACGCCGACCUGCAGCCGGCAGCACGCAGCGUGCGCCUCCCCGGCACAGCCUCGCUGUCAACACCCAGCGCUCCCAACCUCACUAGAAGGAAACCAACCUCCAUGCCACCAGUUCAUCAGGUGCUGGCAUGGGGUAAGCAAACAAACAAGCUGGUUCAACAGGAAUUACAGGGCUCUCUGGCUGAGAAGUAUAGAAGAGGACAGGACUCCCUUCAGCACAUAUCAAGAUCAUUUCUUAAUCAGCUGUUGGACGCAUUUUGAUUUGAGAGACACAAAGUACUGGCUCUUCUUCAGGAACUGAAUGCCUUAUCCCUUGUUAUGCUACAGCCUCAAUGCUGGCACCAAUCAUUUCUGCAGUUAAAGCACACACCUGCAUCUGGACGCACUUUCUGACAAAAUCUCAUUAAAACUGUGGUGGCUGUUUUGCAGGAACUCAGGACAUGCCUGGGAAAGAACACAAGGCAGUCAGCCAAAGGCACAACUUCACAGUCAUGUUAACAAUGGCUAAACAAAUCUCAGAAUCCUCCUGAAGAAAUCUGGAAUAAAAUAAAAACAAUUUUCUUCUGUUAGUCUUGU